rnacentral:rRNA from 1 species
UACAGAGGUCUCAAGCGUUGUCCGGAUUUAUUGGGCGUAAAGAGCUCGUAGGCGGUUGGGUAAGUCGGGUGUGAAAACUCCCGGGCUCAACUCGGAGACGCCACCCGAUACUGCUCUGACUUGAGUCCGGUAGGGGAGUGGGGAAUUCCUGGUGUAGCGGUGAAAUGCGCAGAUAUCAGGAGGAACACCGGUGGCGAAGGCGGGUCUCUGGGCCGAUACUGACGCUGAGGAGCGAAAGCGUGGGGAGCAAACAGG